UCCUACCUCUUGACCUUGUAGUUGGUCCAUUUAGAACUUGUAAAUGAUAUUUAAGACUUGGUCCACCUUAGUGCACAUCACUAAUUCAAGAAUAUUAACAUAUAUACAUCCAUCGUGGCAGCUGGGUGCAUCGAUGAAGUAUUAGCAUCAUGUGGGGGUAAUUAAAAAAGCUACAAUUAGCAGCCCCACAUGUUCCACUUGCACAUGAGAGGUUCAAUGCAUUGUACACAAAUUAGCAAGCAUGUGUCUCUGAGCAUUACCCCGCAUGCAGGCCCCCCAUUUAGAUAUAUUCGCCACCAUCUCCUUCCAUCCCUUCUCUCACAGCUCCAAACCAAAAUGCAUGCAAUCUUCCCUUCUCAGCAUAUUCAUUGAACUCAAUUUUCCCAUCCUCUGAUAAAUAUAGGAUUUCAACUCCUUUCUUCUUCAAACCUCUCUCUCGACAUCUCAUUCUCUACCAAAAUGGUUUUUGCCAGCUUCAGUGAAGAGAUCUAUCUAUCGUUUGCAAUCUCGAUACUGGUGUUUUUCUAUCUCGUUCUGGUAGUCUUGGAGUCUCCAUGGAGCAAUAGUGGUGGAGUUUGUAUCUUGCCCCUGGAUUGCUGCUUUCCAACACUUAGGGUUGCAGAAAAGAUGUCAACAGUGAGUGAUUCCAAAGGGAAGCCGAGAACUGGAGUACUCUAUGGGAAUCUGCAGUAAAAGAGAGAUGUAAUAUAUAUAUUUUCUAGGCUACAUAUACUGGAUUUUGUAUUCUUGGUGUUUUUCUUUCCCUGCACCUUCUUGAUUUCGGGACUCUUGCUUAGGAAUUCAGUUCUCAAGAAUUCAUCAUGUGGGAUUGAUCGAGUUCUUGGGAUCUAAAUUUAGAUUGUAUCUACAACUAUAAGCAUCCGGCCCGGAGCUAUAUUAACGUACGAUCUGACAAUUAAUACUGAUAACUCAUGCGACUGAGAGCUCAAAUUUGUAGUGCUUAACUGUGAGUUACAAGAUAUCAAUUGUGAUCGAUCAUUAAUCCACCUAUCAAACAUUAUUGUCACCGAAAGCGAAACAAUAGCAUGAAAUGUUCUCCAUAUGUUUUCCAUAUUGACCCAAGUAUACAUACAUACAUACAUACAUACAUACAUGUGUGUGUGUUAAGUU